rnacentral:rRNA from 1 species
GACGUAGGGCGCGAGCGUUGUCCGGAUUUAUUGGGCGUAAAGAGCUCGUAGGCGGUUUGUUGCGUCGGCCGUGAAAACCUGCAGCUUAACUGUGGGCCUGCGGUCGAUACGGGCAGACUUGAGUUCGGUAGGGGAGACUGGAAUUCCUGGUGUAGCGGUGAAAUGCGCAGAUAUCAGGAGGAACACCGGUGGCGAAGGCGGGUCUCUGGGCCGAUACUGACGCUGAGGAGCGAAAGCGUGGGGAGCGAACAGG